AACCGCGGUUACACGACUGGCCCGAGUUAAUGGGCCUUUCGGCGUAAAGGGUGGUUAGGUUUAACCAAAGAAAAUGAGGUCGAAUGAUCUACAUACCGUGAAAAGUAAUCAGGAGUCAGAAGCCCACCAACGAAAGUAACUUCAAUAACAACGACGCCACAAAAGCUAAGACA
rnacentral:rRNA from 1 species